CAUGUGGUUUAAUUCGAAGCAACGCGAAGAACCUUACCAGGUCUUGACAUCCUCUGAAAACCCUAGAGAUAGGGAUUAACAUUAGGGAGCAGAGUGACAGGUGGUGCAUGGUUGUCGUCAGCUCGUGUCGUGAGAUGUUGGGUUAAGUCCCGCAACGAGCGCAACCCUUGAUCUUAGUUGCCAUCAUUAAGUUGGGCACUCUAAGGUGACUGCCGGUGACAAACCGGAGGAAGGUGGGGAUGACGUCAAAUCAUCAUGCCCCUUAUGACCUGGGCUACACACGUGCUACAAUGGACGGUACAAAGAGCUGCAAGACCGCGAGGUGGAGCUAAUCUCAUAAAACCGUUCUCAGUUCGGAUUGUAGGCUGCAACUCGCCUACAUGAAGCUGGAAUCGCUAGUAAUCGCGGAUCAGCAUGCCGGGGUGAAUACGUUCCCGGGCCUUGUACACACCCCUUCUUUUUCUCCACGAGAGUUUGUAACACC
rnacentral:rRNA from 1 species